rnacentral:tRNA from 1 species
AGCAGAGUGGUCCAAUGGUUAGGGUGCUGGCCUGGGACUCAGGAGACCCAGGUUCAAUUCCUUACUCUGCCA